rnacentral:rRNA from 1 species
AAAUUGAAGAGUUUGAUCAUGGCUCAGAUUGAACGCUGGCGGCAGGCCUAACACAUGCAAGUCGAGCGGUAACACAGGGAGCUUGCUCCCGGGUGACGAGCGGCGGACGGGUGAGUAAUGUCUGGGAAACUGCCUGAUGGAGGGGGAUAACUACUGGAAACGGUAGCUAAUACCGCAUAAUGUCGCAAGACCAAAGAGGGGGACCUUCGGGCCUCUUGCCAUCAGAUGUGCCCAGAUGGGAUUAGCUAGUAGGUGGGGUAACGGCUCACCUAGGCGACGAUCCCUAGCUGGUCUGAGAGGAUGACCAGCCACACUGGAACUGAGACACGGUCCAGACUCCUACGGGAGGCAGCAGUGGGGAAUAUUGCACAAUGGGCGCAAGCCUGAUGCAGCCAUGCCGCGUGUAUGAAGAAGGCCUUCGGGUUGUAAAGUACUUUCAGCGGGGAGGAAGGUGUUGAGGUUAAUAACCUCAGCGAUUGACGUUACCCGCAGAAGAAGCACCGGCUAACUCCGUGCCAGCAGCCGCGGUAAUACGGAGGGUGCAAGCGUUAAUCGGAAUUACUGGGCGUAAAGCGCACGCAGGCGGUCUGUCAAGUCGGAUGUGAAAUCCCCGGGCUCAACCUGGGAACUGCAUUCGAAACUGGCAGGCUAGAGUCUUGUAGAGGGGGUAGAAUUCCAGGUGUAGCGGUGAAAUGCGUAGAGAUCUGGAGGAAUACCGGUGGCGAAGGCGGCCCCCUGGACAAAGACUGACGCUCAGGUGCGAAAGCGUGGGGAGCAAACAGGAUUAGAUACCCUGGUAGUCCACGCCGUAAACGAUGUCGACUUGGAGGUUGUGCCCUUGAGGCGUGGCUUCCGGAGCUAACGCGUUAAGUCGACCGCCUGGGGAGUACGGCCGCAAGGUUAAAACUCAAAUGAAUUGACGGGGGCCCGCACAAGCGGUGGAGCAUGUGGUUUAAUUCGAUGCAACGCGAAGAACCUUACCUACUCUUGACAUCCAGAGAACUUAGCAGAGAUGCUUUGGUGCCUUCGGGAACUCUGAGACAGGUGCUGCAUGGCUGUCGUCAGCUCGUGUUGUGAAAUGUUGGGUUAAGUCCCGCAACGAGCGCAACCCUUAUCCUUUGUUGCCAGCGGUCCGGCCGGGAACUCAAAGGAGACUGCCAGUGAUAAACUGGAGGAAGGUGGGGAUGACGUCAAGUCAUCAUGGCCCUUACGAGUAGGGCUACACACGUGCUACAAUGGCGCAUACAAAGAGAAGCGACCUCGCGAGAGCAAGCGGACCUCAUAAAGUGCGUCGUAGUCCGGAUUGGAGUCUGCAACUCGACUCCAUGAAGUCGGAAUCGCUAGUAAUCGUAGAUCAGAAUGCUACGGUGAAUACGUUCCCGGGCCUUGUACACACCGCCCGUCACACCAUGGGAGUGGGUUGCAAAAGAAGUAGGUAGCUUAACCUUCGGGAGGGCGCUUACCACUUUGUGAUUCAUGACUGGGGUGAAGUCGUAACAAGGUAACCGUAGGGGAACCUGCGGUUGGAUCACCUCCUUACCUUAAAGAA